rnacentral:rRNA from 1 species
AUACGGAGGGUCCGAGCGUUAUCCGGAAUUAUUGGGUUUAAAGGGUCCGUAGGCGGGCGAUUAAGUCAGUGGUGAAAGUCUGCAGCUCAACUGUAGAAUUGCCUUUGAUACUGAUUGUCUUGAGUUAUAGUGAAGUUGCCGGAAUAUGUAGUGUAGCGGUGAAAUGCAUAGAUAUUACAUAGAACACCGAUUGCGAAGGCAGGUGACUAACUGUAUACUGACGCUGAUGGACGAAAGCGUGGGGAGCGAACAGGAUUAGAUACCCUAGUAGUCC